UUCGCAAUGCCCGAAAGGGUGACGAAGCGACGCCGCGUGCGGGAAGAAGGCCUUCGGGUUGUAAACCGCUGUCGGGAGUUAAGAAAUGUAAGGAUGUUAAUAGCAUCUUUGCUUGACUAAGGCUCCGGAGGAAGCCACGGCUAACUCUGUGCCAGCAGCCGCGGUAAUACAGAGGCGGCAAGCGUUGUUCGGAAUUAUUGGGCGUAAAGAGCACGUAGGCGGCUAUGUAAGUCGGUUGUGAAAGCCUUCCGCUCAACGGGAGAACAGCAUCCGAUACUGCAUGGCUUGAGUGCGGGAGGGGAGAGUGGAACUUCUGGUGGAGCGGUGAAAUGCGUAGAUAUCAGAAGGAACGCCGGCGGCGAAAGCGGCUCUCUGGCCCAUAACUGACGCUGAGUGUGCGAAAGCUAGGGGAGCAAACGGGAUUAGAUACCCCGGUAGUCCUCGCCGUAAACGAUGGGCACUAAGUAGAGGGGUUUU
rnacentral:rRNA from 1 species